GACGAACGCUGGCGGCGUGCCUAAUACAUGCAAGUAGAACGCUGAAGCGAGGAGCUUGCUCUUCUUGGCUGAGUUGCGAACGGGUGAGUAACGCGUAGGUAACCUGCCUGGUAGCGGGGGAUAACUAUUGGAAACGAUAGCUAAUACCGCAUAAAAUUGAUUAUUGCAUGAUAAUUAAUUGAAAGAUGCAACUGCAUCACUACCCGAUGGACCUGCGUUGUAUUAGCUAGUUGGUGAGGUAACGGCCCACCAAGGCGACGAUACAUAGCCGACCUGAGAGGGUGAUCGGCCACACUGGGACUGAGACACGGCCCAGACUCCUACGAGAGGCAGCAGUAGGGAAUCUGCGGCAAUGGGGGGAACCCUGGCCGAGCAGCGCCGCGUGAGUGAAGAAGGUGUUCGGAUCGUAAAGCUCUGUUGUAGGAGAAGAACGGGUGUGAGAGUGGAAAGUGCACACUGUGACGGUAUCGUACCAGAAAGGGACGGCUAACUACGU
rnacentral:rRNA from 1 species